UACGAAGGGGGCUAGCGUUGCUCGGAAUGACUGGGCGUAAAGGGCGCGUAGGCGGUUUGUACAGUCAGAUGUGAAAUUCCUGGGCUCAACCUGGGGGGCUGCAUUUGAUACGUGCAGGCUUGAGUGUGGAAGAGGGUCGUGGAAUUCCCAGUGUAGAGGUGAAAUUCGUAGAUAUUGGGAAGAACACCGGUGGCGAAGGCGGCGACCUGGUCCAUUACUGACGCUGAGGCGCGAAAGCGUGGGGAGCAAACAGG
rnacentral:rRNA from 1 species